rnacentral:rRNA from 1 species
ACGGGUGAGUAAUGUCUGGGGAUCUGCCCGAUAGAGGGGGAUAACCACUGGAAACGGUGGCUAAUACCGCAUAACGUCGCAAGACCAAAGAGGGGGACCUUCGGGCCUCUCACUAUCGGAUGAACCCAGAUGGGAUUAGCUAGUAGGCGGGGUAACGGCCCACCUAGGCGACGAUCCCUAGCUGGUCUGAGAGGAUGACCAGCCACACUGGAACUGAGACACGGUCCAGACUCCUACGGGAGGCAGCAGUGGGGAAUAUUGCACAAUGGGCGCAAGCCUGAUGCAGCCAUGCCGCGUGUAUGAAGAAGGCCUUCGGGUUGUAAAGUACUUUCAGCGGGGAGGAAGGCGAUGUGGUUAAUAACCGCGUCGAUUGACGUUACCCGCAGAAGAAGCACCGGCUAACUCCGUGCCAGCAGCCGCGGUAAUACGGAGGGUGCAAGCGUUAAUCGGAAUUACUGGGCGUAAAGCGCACGCAGGCGGUCUGUUAAGUCAGAUGUGAAAUCCCCGGGCUUAACCUGGGAACUGCAUUUGAAACUGGCAGGCUUGAGUCUCGUAGAGGGGGGUAGAAUUCCAGGU